GUCGGGAUAGCUCAGUUGGUAGAGCAAAGGACUG
rnacentral:tRNA from 1 species